GAGUCCCUACGGGAGGCAGCAGUGGGGGAUAUUGCACAAUGGGCGCAAGCCUGAUGCAGCGACGCCGCGUGAGCAAAGAAGUAUUUCGGUAUGUAAAGCUCUAUCAGCAGGGAAGAAAAUGACGGUACCUGACUAAGAAGCUCCGGCUAAAUACGUGCCAGCAGCCGCGGUAAUACGUAUGGAGCAAGCGUUAUCCGGAAUUACUGGGUGUAAGGGGAGCGUAGGCGGCAAGGCAAGUCUGAUGUGAAAACCCAGGGCCCAACCCUGGGACUGCAUUGGGAACUGUAUUGCUUGAGUACCGGAGG
rnacentral:rRNA from 1 species